GCGGGUAUCGUAUAGUGGCUAUUAUGCGACCCUUCCAAGGUUGAGAGGCGGGUUCGAUUCCCGCUACCCGCUCCA
rnacentral:tRNA from 1 species